GACGAACGCUGGCGGCGUGCUUAACACAUGCAAGUCGAGCGGUAAGGCCCUUUCGGGGGUACACGAGCGGCGAACGGGUGAGUAACACGUGGGUGACCUGCCCUCAGCUCUGGGAUAAGCCUGGGAAACCGGGUCUAAUACCGGAUAUGACUCCAUGACGCAUGUUGUGGGGUGGAAAGCCUUGUGCGGCUGAGGAUGGGCCCGCGGCCUAUCAGCUUGUUGGUGGGGGAUGGCCUACCAAGGCGACGACGGGUAGCCGGCCUGAGAGGGCGACCGGCCACACUGGGACUGAGACACGGGCCCAGACCCCUACGGGAGGGCAGCAGUGGGGAAGUCUUGCGCAAUGGGCGAAAGCCUGACGCAGCGACGCCGCGUGAGGGAUGACGGCC
rnacentral:rRNA from 1 species